AUACGAAGGGUGCAAGCGUUACUCGGAAUUACUGGGCGUAAAGCGUGCGUAGGUGGUUGUUUAAGUCUGUCGUGAAAGCCCUGGGCUCAACCUGGGAAUGGCGAUGGAAACUGGGCGACUAGAGUGUGGCAGAGGGUAGUGGAAUUCCUGGUGUAGCAGUGAAAUGCGUAGAGAUCAGGAGGAACAUCCGUGGCGAAGGCGACUGCCUGGGCCAACACUGACACUGAGGCACGAAAGCGUGGGGAGCAAACAGGAUUAGAUACCCUGGUAGUCCACGCCCUAAACGAUGCGAACUGGAUGCUGGGUGCAAUUUGGCACGCAGUAUCGAAGCUAACGCGUUAAGUUCGCCGCCUGGGGAGUACGGUCGCAAGACUGAAACUCAAAUGAAUUGACGGGG
rnacentral:rRNA from 1 species